rnacentral:rRNA from 1 species
ACUCAAAUGAAUUGACGGGGACCCGCACAACCGGUGGAGCGUGUGGUUCAAUUCGAGACAAAGCGAAAAACCUUACCAGGGUUUGACAUCUUACCGUUUUAUACCUUUGGAAACUUUGGUAGAUCCGCAAGGAUGGUAGGACAGGUGCUGCAUGGCUGUCGUCAGUUCGUGCCGUGAGGUGUUCCCUUAAGUGGGGAAACGAACGCAACCUGCGUCUAAUGUUAAAUUGUCAUUAGAUACUGCCCCGAUUAUCUCGGGGAGGAAGGAGCAGCAGAUGUCAAGUCAGCACGGCCCUUAUACCCUGGGUCACACACACCCUACAAUGGCGAAAAACAACGUGCUGCAAGUACGCAAGUGCAAGCUAAUCACUGAAAUUUCGCCUCAGUUCAGAUUGGGGUCUGCAACCCGACCCCAUGAAGUCGGAAUCGGUAGUAAUCGCGGAUCAGAAGGCCGCGGUGAAUACGUUCUCGGGUCUUGUACACACCGCCCGU